rnacentral:rRNA from 1 species
UACAGAGGUGGCAAGCGUUGUUCGGAAUUACUGGGCGUAAAGCGCGUGUAGGCGGCUCUUCAAGUCAGGCGUGAAAGCCCCGGGCUCAACUCGGGAACUGCGCUCGAUACUGUCGAGCUAGAGUGUGGAAGGGGCGAUUGGAAUUCCGUGUGUAGCGGUGAAAUGCGUAGAUAUACGGAGGAACACCAGAGGCGAAGGCGGAUCGCCGGGCCAACACUGACGCUGAGACGCGAAAGCUAGGGUAGCAAACGGG